GAUGAACGCUGGCGGCGUGCUUAACACAUGCAAGUCGAACGGUAAGGCCCUUCGGGGUACACGAGUGGCGAACGGGUGAGUAACACGUGGGUGAUCUGCCCUGCACUUCGGGAUAAGCCUGGGAAACUGGGUCUAAUACCGGAUAGGACCCUGGGAUGCAUGUCCUGGGGUGGAAAGCUUUUGCGGUGUGGGAUGGGCCCGCGGCCUAUCGGCUUGUUGGGGGGGUGAUGGCCUACCAAGGCGACGACGGGUAGCCGGCCUGAGAGGGUGACCGGCCAAACUGGGACUGAGAUACGGCCCAGACCCCUACGGGAGGCAGCAGUGGGGAGUAUUGCACAAUGGGCGCAAGCCUGAUGCAGCGACGCCGCGUGAGGGAUGACGGCCUUCGGGUUGUAAACCUCUUUCAGCACCGACGAAGCGCAAGUGACGGUAGGUGCAGAAGAAGGACCGGCCAACUACGUGCCAGCCGCCGCCGUAA
rnacentral:rRNA from 1 species